GGCUGCUAUGCCUUAGGGCCGCGUGGAGCUUUGGGAGAUGUAGGAAGCGAGAGGGCGCGGCCUUCUCCCAGGCUCCUCCCAGUCCGAUUGCGUCGUGACCUCGUCCGCCCUGGAAUUCACCCGGGUAGUCACCGCGAUGAGCCAUGCGGUAGAUAUGCCGCUUGAUGAUCAUCAGCUUAUCGAUCACUGAUGGACUGUUCACAAAGAUUCAAUUGGAAGAGCAACGUUCAAGUUGCAGUAUUGUCAAUAAACAGGGAGACUGUGUUUGAAGAGUACUAUGUCCCAUUAGUACUGUACAACAAAUGAAUACCCAUGACCUCAUAUUGGAAAAGCUUUUCCAUGGUAACAGGACACAUGGAAAUUAUUCUUUAACAAUUAAAGAAUGUCAU